GGUGACGCUAGCCGUGGGGUUCCACCCGAUCCCUUCCCGAACUCGGAAGUUAAGCCCACGCACGCCGAUGGUACUGCAGCUUUAGCUGUGGGAGAGUAGGUCAUUGCCG
rnacentral:rRNA from 1 species